rnacentral:rRNA from 1 species
GACGAACGCUGGCGGCGCGCUUAACACAUGCAAGUCGAACGGAGAGGCCUGCUUUCCCUUGUGGAUUGCGGGUACUCGAGUGGCGAACGGGUGAGUAACACGUGAGUGAUCUGCCCCCAACUUGGGUAUAAGCCUGGGAAACUGGGUCUAAUUCCCGAUAGGACUGCAGGGUGGUGCCUGUGGUGGAAAACGAUUUUCUAGUGGUUGGGGAUGAGCUCGCGGCCUAUCAGCUUGUUGGUGGGGUAAUGGCCUACCAAGGCGGCGACGGGUAGCCGGCCUGGGAGGGUGGACGGCCACAUUGGGACUGAGAUACGGCCCAGACUCCUACGGGAGGCAGCAGUGGGGAAUAGUGCACAAUGGGCGGAAGCCUGAUGCAGCGACGCCGCGUGGGGGAUGACGGCCUUCGGGUGGUAAACUCCUUUCGACCGCGAGGAAGCCACCUGGUUGGAAGGGUGGUGACGGUAGUGGUAGAAGAAGCACCGGCUAACUACGUG